rnacentral:tRNA from 1 species
AAAUUAUUUAUAAAAAAUAUUUUUUUUAAGCCUUAGUAUUUAUUAUUUUACACCUUAAAAUUUGCAAU